UGGCGCAUGGCCAAGUGGUUAAGGCAUCAGUCUAGUGAUCUGAAGGUCGUGAGUUCGAGCCUCAGCUGAGGCAG